GACGAACGCUGGCGGCGUGCCUAAUACAUGCAAGUAGAACGCUGAAGGAGGAGCUUGCUUCUCUAGAUGAGUUGCGAACGGGUGAGUAACGCGUAGGUAACCUGCCUGGUAGCGGGGGAUAACUAUUGGAAACGAUAGCUAAUACCGCAUAAUAGUAGAUGUUGCAUGACAUUUGCUUAAAAGGUGCAAUUGCAUCACUACCAGAUGGACCUGCGUUGUAUUAGCUAGUUGGUGGGGUAACGGCUCACCAAGGCGACGAUACAUAGCCGACCUGAGAGGGUGAUCGGCCACACUGGGACUGAGACACGGCCCAGACUCCUACGGGAGGCAGCAGUAGGGAAUCUUCGGCAAUGGACGGAAGUCUGACCGAGCAACGCCGCGUGAGUGAAGAAGGUUUUCGGAUCGUAAAGCUCUGUUGUAAGAGAAGAACGAGUGUGAGAGUGGAAAGUUCACA
rnacentral:rRNA from 1 species